CGGAGGAAAAGAAAAUAACAAUGAUUCCCUCAGUAGCGGCGAGCGAAGCGGGAAAAGCCCAAAAUGAAAAGCCUGCUUGCAGGCGUUGUAUUUGAGCAGCCUUGGGGCGUCAGUGUAGGUAAGUCGCAUGGAAAUGCGUACCGUGGAGGGUGAAAGUCCCGUCCAACCUAUGCAGGACGUUCCGCACAAGGCUGUUUCAGUCGAGUCGGGUAGCUUGGGAAUGCUGCUCUAAUUGGUGGUAAAUCUCAUCAAAGGCUAAAUAACGGUGGGAGACCGAUAGUAAACAAGUACCGUGAGGGAAAGAUGACAAGCACUUUGAAAAGAGGGUGAAAAGAACCUGAAACCGUUACGGGGGAAGCGGAUUGCGUUGGAUUGAUGGGUGUUUGUGUGUUCAGCCAUGAACUUUGUUCUAGGUGCAUUGAUGCAAAUACUUAUCCGUCGUGGGUUUCUUGGCAACCGAAUUUGGGUUGCUAGAGGCUGAGGGCUCCCCUUUUUGGGUUGAGGACGGCGGAGUGACGACGCGAUACGACCCGUCUUGAAACACGGACCAAGGAGUCUAGCGCGGGUGCGAGUCGGAGGGUUUUAAAACCUGUGGGCGAAGUGAAAGCGAGUUUUGAUUCUAAAACUAGCAGUUUGAGGCGGCAUAGAAUCGUUGAUUCUAGGUCCGACCUGGAGCAGUUGCGCUGGGACCCGAAAGAUGGUGAACUAUGCCGGAGUAGGGCAAAGCCAGAAGAAAUUCUGGUGGAGGCUCGUAGCGGUGCUGACGUGCAAAUCGCUCGUCAAACUUGGGUAUAGGGGCGAAAGACUAAUCGAACCAUCUAGUAGCUGGUUCCCUCCGAAGUUUCUCUCAGGAUAGCGGGCCGACACGAGUUGUUUUGUGCGGUAAAGCGAAUGAUUAGCGCACUCGGGGACUAUAAGUCUUCGGGCGAUUCUCAAACUUUCAAUGCGCAAGGGUACCGGUGCUUAAUUGAGCGGUACCGAUAAAAACGUCGGCCCUGUGGGCCACUUUUGGUAAGCAGAACUGGCGAUACGGGAUGAACCGUAAGCAUGGUUAAGGCGCCUAAUUGCCCGCUUAUAGAUCCCACAAAAGGUGUUGAUUCAUCGAGACAGCAGGACGGUGGCCAUGGAAGUCGGAAUCCGCUAAGGAGUGUGUAAAAACUCACCUGCCGAAUGAAUUAGCCCUGAAAAUGGAUGGCGCUGAAGCGGGUAGCCGACACCAUGCCGUCUGGGCAAUUUUUUUUCAAAGACUGAUUUCAGAUGAGUAGGAGGGCGUGGUGGCCGUGUCGAAGCUUGCGUGCAGACGCAUGUGGAACGGCCACUAGUGCAGAUCUUGGUGGUAGUAGCAAAUAUUCAAGCGAGAUCCUUGAAGGGCGAAGCGGGGAAGGGUUCCACGCGAACAUUGAUUGGGCGUGGGUGAGUCGUUCCUAAGCCGAGUGGCGAUUGCUAAGUAGCGGCGAAAGGGAAGCGGGUUGACAUUCCCGCACACGGAUGUGGAGGCGGUGACGCUUUUAUUGCGGCGAACACGCUGGCGGUGGCGCUGGGCAGAGUUUUCUUUUCUGUUUGACCGCUUUAUGCGCGUGGUGUGGAAUCCGCUUGUCGGGAGAAACACACGCGUACGGGCAGAGCGCCGGGCUUUAUCCGGCGUCCAGCUCGCCACCGACGGCCCUUGAAACUUUGCCUGCUGAUUUAAAAUCCACGCCGUGGCGUACCGAUCACCGCAUCAGGUCCCCAAGGUGAACAGCCUCUGCUCCAUAUGAACAAUGCAGGUAAGGGAAGUCGGCAAAUUGGACCCGUAACUUUGGGAAAAGGGUUGGCUCUAGUGCUGCGUGGGAGUGGUUGUCUGGUUUCGUCGUUGAUUGGGGUGGCCCCCAGAGGUGCUCGAGGUCUGGCCUCACGGCCUGCUUUGGGUGCUUYAGGAGCUCCUCGGUUACGGCGCGCUAGACGACGCCCACAGCAUGCAGCAAACUAGAACUGCAACGGGCAAAGGGAAUCCGACUGUUUAAUUAAAACAAAGCAUUGCGAAGGCCGUGGCCGGUGAUGACGCAAU
rnacentral:rRNA from 1 species